rnacentral:rRNA from 1 species
GACAGAGGUGCCGAGCGUUAGGCGGAAUCACUGGGCUUAAAGCGUGUGUAGGCGGACUUCUAAGUACCUUGUGAAAUCCCACGGCUUAACCGUGGAACUGCUUGGUAUACUGGUUGUCUUGGGCCAUCUAGGGGCUAGCGGAACAAACGGUGGAGCGGUGAAAUGCGUAGAUAUCGUUUGGAACGCCAAUGGUGAAAACAGCUAGCUGGGGGAUGUGCCGACGCUGAGACACGAAAGCCAGGGGAGCGAACGGG